rnacentral:rRNA from 1 species
AUUGAACGCUGGCGGCAGGCCUAACACAUGCAAGUCGAGCGGAUGAAGGGAGCUUGCUCCUGGAUUCAGCGGCGGACGGGUGAGUAAUGCCUAGGAAUCUGCCUGGUAGUGGGGGAUAACGUCCGGAAACGGGCGCUAAUACCGCAUACGUCCUGAGGGAGAAAGUGGGGGAUCUUCGGACCUCACGCUAUCAGAUGAGCCUAGGUCGGAUUAGCUAGUUGGUGGGGUAAAGGCCUACCAAGGCGACGAUCCGUAACUGGUCUGAGAGGAUGAUCAGUCACACUGGAACUGAGACACGGUCCAGACUCCUACGGGAGGGAGCAGUGGGGAAUAUUGGACAAUGGGCGAAAGCCUGAUCCAGCCAUGCCGCGUGUGUGAAGAAGGUCUUCGGAUUGUAAAGCACUUUAAGUGGGGAGGAAGGGCAGUAAGUUAAUACCUUGCUGUUUUGACGUUACCAACAGAAUAAGCACCGGCUAACUUCGUG